rnacentral:rRNA from 1 species
AUUGAACGCUGGCGGAAUGCUUUACACAUGCAAGUCGAACGGCAGCACGGGGCAACCUGGUGGCGAGUGGCGAACGGGUGAGUAAUAUAUCGGAACGUGCCCAAUCGUGGGGGAUAACGUAGCGAAAGUUACGCUAAUACCGCAUACGAUCUACGGAUGAAAGCGGGGGAUCGCAAGACCUCGCGCGAAUGGAGCGGCCGAUAUCAGAUUAGGUAGUUGGUGGGGUAAAGGCUCACCAAGCCAACGAUCUGUAGCUGGUCUGAGAGGACGACCAGCCACACUGGAACUGAGACACGGUCCAGACUCCUACGGGAGGCAGCAGUGGGGAAUUUUGGACAAUGGGGGCAACCCUGAUCCAGCCAUGCCGCGUGAGUGAAGAAGGCC